CCCUUAGAUGUUCUGGGCCGCACGCGCGCUACACUGAUGCAUUCAACGAGUCUAAAACCUGCUCUGAUAGGGGUGGGUAAUCUUUUGAAUGUGCAUCGUGAUUGGGAUAGAUGAUUGCAAUUUUUCAUCUUCAACGAGGAAUGCCUAGUAAACGCAAGUCAUCAGCUUGCAUUGAUUACGUCCCUGCCCUUUGUACACACCGCCCGUCGCUCCUACCGAUUGAAUGAUCCGAUGAAUAUCAUGGAUUGAGGAUGCAAGUAGGUUCGCCUAUCUUCAUCUUCGAGAAGUGAAGUAAAUCUUAUCAUUUAGAGGAAGGAGAGGUCGUAACA
rnacentral:rRNA from 1 species